UCUCAGAGACUCACUGCGCGUAUAAAAUAGACCCAAAAGCCAUAGAUCUCAAAGAAAGAAAAAGCCAUAGAUCUGGAUCUCGAAACCCCCAAUUCCAAUUGAGCUUGAUCAUUAUGACCCUGUUGUUGAGAAAUAUAUCGGAUUUGGACCUGGACGAUCCCCGACGGUGGGAGCCGCCAGAAGACGAGACGCUGCGGUUUUUAUGGGACACGGGUCGUGUCUCGGUUUCAUUGUUUGAAUUGCUUUCCUUACAUGAAAAACGAUGCAACAACGCACAAGAACCAAACCCUCGUGACUGUACGCCUCAGGCGGAACAACAAAAACAAAGUCGCAGACGCCGACGCCUAAUUCAUGAAUGUAUUAAUAGGGAGCUUCCUCUUUCAAAGAGACAUGCAAAGGGACUUGGUUAUCAUCCUCGCACAAUGGGUGUUGAUACUAAUGACUCUCAUGCAAAACCUUCUACUCAUUCUGCUGUCACGUCCUGUAACUGUUGUGGUAUCACCCACUGGCGUCGACAUUGCCCAAACCGUGAUCAACGUGCUCCAGUAUUGGGAUCAGAAACAAAAUCAAAAUCUGCUGCUGGCAGCGACAACAGUUCAUGUGAGACCAAAGAAUAAUCACAACUUUCAGAAACUAGCACAUACGAGAAUUGCUGAUCCUAAUCAACUUUAUAGAGGACUCCGAAGUUUAUUGGGAUAUUAGUUCUCUCGCACCAUACAUUUGCCAAAUGUAUUUUGCUUGGAUAAUUUUGUUGAUGUGGUUCUUAAAGAUGGAAGGCAUGAUGAGCCUGGUGUUUUGUAUCGAGGUUGCUUGUUUGUGAUGCUUUCCAGAUGGUUAACAAAAUAGUUAGGGUUUGUCGAGAAGGUUAAAACAGGUUCUAGCAACUGGAAGUGAUUUGGUCUUUAUAUUACAGUUCCAUUGAUUAUCUAGAGUGUUCAGUCAUAAAGGCUAACCAUGACCAUACAUGUUUACAAGCAUAUUCUUGCAUUGCAGUGUGGGUUUAAGUUGAAAGUUAUAGGUAAUUGAUGAUGGAUUAACUGGGACAUCCUUACCUGCUACUAGUUUUUUAAUUUUCAGCCGAUAAAGACAUGUUUGAAGUUUUACAACCAUAAUAAUUGCCUUACAAUUGGCUGUUUUGGUAUUAAUUGUCGGUUUGAUUAUUUUUGUUUCCAAAAUCAUUGUUAUGUUCUUCCCAUUAUGUUGUUGCUUGUCUUCCAGUUAGUGCUCGUGUAAUGUAAAACUAUCAUGGAAUAUGCUAUUAUUCUUUUGUUCCUCAAUGAAAUCAUUCUGUACUUGUUAACAGGUCAAGAAUCCCACAGCUCGCAUUGAACACGAAGCCAGUACCUCCAAAAUUGGUGAGGACCAGCUAUUUUACUUUCAGCAAAGGGGAAUAGACUAUGAGAAAGCCAUGGCUGCCAUGAUAUCUGGUUUUUGCCAGGCAGUAUUCAAUGAGCUUCCUGAUGAGUUUGGGUCUGAGGUGAAUCAACUGAUUGGCUUGAAGCUGGAAGGAACAGUGGGGUAGAUAAUUGUAACAGGACAUGUAAGUUUCUAAUACAUACAAUGGCUGAAGCACUCAUCUUGAUGCUUCUAGAGAAAUUGGCUUCUGUAACUUUUCAACUCACAGAAAAAAAGGUGAGACUGGUUUUGGAUGUUGAGAAAGAAGUUGAAGAAUUCACUGGAAAUCUUGAAGCAAUUCAAGCUGUGCUUGAGGAUGCAGAGCAGAAGCAAGUCAAGGAUGCAAGCGUGAGGAAUUGGUUGGAUAAGCUCAAGGAAGUGUCCUAUAAGAUGGAUGACGUGCUGGAUGAGUGGAACACUGAAAUUAGUUCUCUUGCACUAAAUUCUUGUUUUUUAUUCUUAUUCAGAGUCUGGUAAAUCUUCAAAGAUUGUCAAAGAAGUUGAUCGCAACAAUUUAUUUGAAAUUUGCACAAGAAUAUGAAUGAAUCCAAAUAAAGCUAGGAGACUAUUAUGUCACUCAUA